UUUAACAGUCGGUCCAUGACUGUUAACAGUCGGCCCACAACUGUUAACAGUCGGGUGAUCGGCUAUUAACAGUCGGGUACCCGACUGUUACUCGACUUUUAAUAGCCGGAUCGACCCGACUGUUAACAGUCGUCGUCUUCCUGCAGGUGAUUUCGCCAUUGUCGGCGAUGGAGAGGUCCAAAAAUUACAAAAAAUUCACAUUUUCACCCCAUUCACACCCACAAUCUAACAACUUUACAUGAUGAUGAAUUUAAACCGAAUAAACGUAAAAAUAAUGAAUCUAAAAACUGAAACUUGUAAUAAUAAAUUUCGAGUGCCAAAACUAACCGGAAUAGUAGUGUGCAAGUACGGAUUGAACGUUGGUGUUUUCGGCCGGUGGUUGAUCGGUCGUUCUUCAGGCAGAUGGCCUCGGUUUUCUUCGAAGUUCGGUCGGUCGGUCGGUUUGGAUUUUUUCUAACAGUUGGUGUAUAGUGAAGGGUAAAAUCGCCCUUUUAGUGUAAACUUAUAUUUUAACUUUUUUUUUUAUUCAUUUAAUGGGUCAAUGGCCAAUGUUAAAAUUUGCUACAGUCCAAAGAUCAUUUCCAUGUAUUUCCUCCUUUCCAACUCUCCCUCCAUCCACUUUCCCCCCAAAAUACAAAAACGACCGACAAAAUUUUUUAUUUUCCUCUGGUUGGCUCAAUUCAAAUCUCAUUGAAUGGGAGUAAAUUUCCUCUAGCUGGCUCAAUUGAAAUCUCCAUUUCCACCCAUUCUCCCCAACUUUUUGAACUUCCAUCUCCACCUAAUCUUAGUCUUGUCUGGUAAGUGUAUAAAUGCAUAAGCUCGUGAUUUUUUCUUUAUUUUCUGUUGAAUUGAAGAUUCCACUGGAGCUUAGUUAUAUUUAUCUUUGAUAUAUUAGAUGUUGAAGCCCACAUUUGAAUUGGUAAAAAUAAAAUUUCUUUCUCGUUAUCUUUAGUAUUCAGGUCCUUUUGUUGUGCAUCACUCACCACUUUUUAUUUUUAAUCCUAUCAUUUAGCUGCUCCUUUGCAUCUCCCACCAUCCAUUCUCUUCGCAAAAAUAUAAAUUCAAUAGUUAAGUUAUGGUGUGAAAAAAUAGCACUUUAUUUAAGAUAGUUUUCUUGUAGCAAUUGAUGGGUCCAAUUUUAUUCAAUAAUUGAGUUAUGAAUCAAAUUUUGUUCUCUGUAGCAAUUGUCCCCCUAAGUAUGCUUGUAAAGAUGGCAAAAAAAUAAAAAAAUAAAAAAAAUUAAAUAAGGAAUCUGUUAAAUGAAUGAACAAUCACUAGACUGUAAACAUUUAUAUAAACUUGAUGAGCUAUUGAAGACUCCCUCGUUCAAUGGAGAUAAUUUAUUGAAGUAACAAUCUACUAGAAUUUUUUUAACAUUAAUUUGGCAUUCAAUUUAUUUAUUUAUUUAUUAUUUUUUUUUGCAAAUAAACUGUUGAUUCAUUCUGAUUUUAAUUACUUGUUUAUGCACUUAUCCUUGCGUUAUUAUGGAUUCCUGAACAUUUUUGCCUCAAAAUUAUGGUCGAAGUGCAAAACGAGCAUAUUGAUGUUCUAGUAGAAUCUGAUGAUGAGAACGUCACGGACUCUAUUAAUAUAAUGAAAGGCGUAACAACAGUAAGAGAUAGAGUGAUUGUGCUCGCGGUAGGUAUGGAGUUUAAGGAUGUGAAAGAAAUGUUUGACUUUGACAGAAGAUAUGCUUAUGCCAUUGGUUUUCUUGUAAAGAAAAGGAACUCGAAAAAGGAAGAAGAUGGAGAGAUGAGAUAUGUGACGUUGACUUGUAGUCCUAAAGGCCGAAAAAUUGGAAAUACUAGCGGUUCUUUGAAGCCGUAACCAACCAUUCAGAUGGGUUGUAAAGCAAGGAUAUCGGCAUCUACAGAUAUAUAUGGAGUCUGAAGAAUUGACAUUGUCCAUCUCGACCACAAUUAUGAAACUAGUCCUUCGAAGUUGAGGUUAUAUCGAUGCAAUUGAGAAUUGAGUGCACAUGUGAAACGAAAACUUCAAGUUAAUGAUUUGGCAAGAAUCCCACUAGAUAAAAGCUACAAUUAUGCAAUUGUAGAAACAGGUGGUUAUGAGAAAAUGAGUUGUGUAGAAAAAGAUUAUCGAAAUUGUAUUGAACAAGUCAGGCGAUUAAGACUUGGAGAAGGAGAUGCUGCUGACAUACAAUUAUACUUUUCAAAAAUGCAAGCACAGUGUUUAGGAUUUCAUUUAGCAUGUAUUUAAUGAAGAUUCGUGGUUGAAGAAUGUAUUUUGGGCAGAUAAUCAUUGUAGGCAAGCGUAUAAGGAGUUUGGCGACGUCGUUACAUUUGAUACAACAUACCUUACAAUCAAGUAUGAUAUGCCCUUCGCUCCAUUUGUUAGCGUCAACCAUCACGGACAAUUAGCACUGCUUAGUUGUGGGAUAAUAUCUAAUGAAGACACAGAUACUUUUGUGUGGUUGUUCAGUACAUGGCUUUAGUGAAUGUAUGGUACUGCCCAUGAUGGAUUAUUAUUGAUUAAGACAGGGCUAUGCAAAAUGCAAUUCAGAUUGUUUUUUCAACACAAAGUAUAGAUGGUGUUUGUGGCAUAUUUUAAAGAAGUUGCCUGAGAAAUUUGGAUACCACGAGGAUAAUUCAGGAAUAUUUGGUGCUAUACACCGAUUGGUUUAUGAUUCCCAAUUUGUACAAGAAUCCGAGGAAGGAUGGGCUUUAAUGAUUGAUACUUUCGGUUUACAUGGUAACGAAUGGCUGUCUGGCCUUUACGUGAACAGAGGCCGUUGAGUGCCAUGUUUUUUGAACAUAACUUCCUGGACAGGUAUGUCAUCGACGCAGAAGUGAGAGUAUAAAUGUAUUCUUCGAUGGAUAGGUGCAUUCGAAGACAACCUUGAAGCAGCUUGUUGAACAAUAUGAAUGUGCGCUGCGGAAUAAGGUUGAGAAGGAAUUCUAGGUCAAUUUCAAGUCAUUUUCGCAUAUGGUACCAUGUGCAACACAAUAUGAAGUGGAAAAAUAGUUGCAAUCUGUUUAUAAAAUUUUUAAAUUCAGGGAAGCUCAGGACGAGUUCACGAUGAAGGUUUACUGUGACUUCAUAUCUACAUCGGAGGGGCCUUUGAGGAUAAUGUAUGAAGUACGCGAGGAUGUUAUGUAAAAGGCCGACGAAAGAAAAAAAAAAAAUCUGUCUCAUUUGAGCAAGAUAAUUGCGAAGUUGUAUGCAGCUUCCACUUAUUCGAAUUUUGAGAAAUAGUUUAUCUUCAUGCGAUCACAUUCUUGAUUCGACGUGAUGUCACCUUAAUUUCGAAAAGGUAUAUAUUGUGGAGAUAGAGGAAGGAUGUUAGUACAGCGCAUGCUAGGGUUUCAGUGAACUACGAUGGCCUGGUUUGUUCUCCUAAACAAUUAAGAUAUGAUGACAUGUGUUGCUUGUUUGCCAAGGCGAUUAUGACUGAAUAAAAGUACAACGUGAGGACCUUAAGAUGUUGAAAAAGGUCGAGUAUUGGAAGUAUUGUCCUCUCACAUCACACCAAUCCAACAGUUGAACAGUGUAAUGAUUCGCAAAAUAAUGCUAGCGUGAAUGUGCGGGAUCCAAAAUCAUCCCAUAAAAAGGAAGCACCCAGGAAACUGCGAAGAAGAGCCCAUUGGAGUUGAGUUCAACCACAACGAAGGUACAUUUACGUAAAUAAGUAUACAUUGAUGGAUUGCAAUGUAUAAAUACUGAUUACCUUAACGGCACAUGUAGGGAAUUUCGGCUUCAACGAAAGAAAAGAGACUAAGUGCAAGGCGUAUUACCAUGCCAUGCAAGACGGUAGAGUCGACAUUCAGGAAAUGUCGCAACAACAUUACUCUAUGCAUGAACCGAUGUCAUUUGUUUAGUACUCCAUGCCGACACAAUUUUCAUUCCCAUAGUAUUCAUUUGCCACACCAUUCCCCCACAUGUGAGUUUUAUAACCUUCAAGUUUUGUUCCUCCUUCGUCCUCAAAUGUUAUUUACCCUUUGCAAGGUAUGGCCACAGUAGUUGUUUUUCAUGUUAUUUCAUUGUACUUGCUAAUAUAGUCUUCAUACGACAUUUAAAUUUUGAUAAUAAGUGCAUCGUUUCACCAUACUUUCUGAUAAAUUCGACAACGGCCAGCUUCAAGUUCAAUAUCUAACUGAUGUUCGAAUGAUUUGGAUCAUGUGGUAGGUGUCGAGGAACAACGCAAAUUGUAAUUAUUAAAUUGCCCUUUUUUUGUGUAAAUGUUGAACGCAGGUCUGUUAUAAUUUUGCUUGCCAUUUGUGAGGUUGUGGAAGUGAUUUUAGUAUGUUGUAAUGAUUUAUGGUAGGCAUAGCUUUGAUGGUUCACUUUGGUUGCUGGUAUAUGUAUUAUGAUUUUGCUCGCCCAAUUU
rnacentral:lncRNA from 1 species